GAAAUGCGAUAAGUAAUGUGAAUUGCAGGAUUCAGUGAAUCAUCGAAUCUUUGAACGCACAUUGCGCCCGCCAGUAUUCUGGCGGGCAUGCCUGUCCGAGCGUCAUUUCAACCAUCAAGCCCCCGGGCUUGUGUUGGGGACCUGCGGCUGCCCGCAGGCCCUGAAAACCAGUGGCGGGCUCGCUGUCACACCGAGCGUAGUAGCAAUCACCUCGCUCAGGGCGUGCUGCGGGUUCCGGCCGUUAAACAGCCUUACAAAACCCAAGGUUGACCUCGGAUCAGGUAGGAAGACCCGCUGAACUUAAGC
rnacentral:misc_RNA from 1 species